UAUAUGAUUGGAAAGAAUGAGAAUAUAUUCCUCAGCGAUAUCAUUUCCUUAUUCAUUAAAAUACCUGGGACCUCAGUCCCUUCCAAAGAAAGAAUUUCAGCCAACUUUGUGGCUAUUUUGUUGAAAGGCUGACAGAAGCAGAGAACAUUGUAUCAUCAGAAUACAGCCCUUAUAGUGGAUAAUUUUGUUUAGGCCUGAAAAAUGGAAGGAGAGAAUUAGCAGCAGCUAAAGAAGUUGGGCUCCUGGUGACCUCCCUCGGCCAUGCUGUCAUUAGGCCCGUUUGGAAUCGGGCUACUUGAACUUUAUCAUCAUGUGGUUGCAAGGAGGAGAAAUAAUUAAAACUGGCUCAAAACAAGGAUUUAAAAUGGAAAUUACCUGAGAAAUCACCUGG